CGGGCCCCUGACGUCACCCGAUUCGCCAGGAAAUGAACUUUUUAAUAAUCCAAGGAGGGUGGAAAGCCCUCGGUCCCCUCGGCUCGGGGGGCGCCCAGCCAGGCGGGCUCAGCUUCUCGGGCGCGCCCCCGUCACCCCCUCCCAGGUCCUCUGCGGACAGCGCUGAGGGGGCGCGCGCACGGCAGGGCCUCCUCCGGCCUCUGCGACUGGCGUCCAUCUGUCUGUCCGAGGCUCUGGAACAGAGUUCCAGGAGGAGAACGCGGUGCGCAGAGGAAGCUGCCUUGGCCGAGUCGGUGCCACGGCUGGCAAGGCGGGGGUCUCCCAGCACCACCCCUGAGAGCAGGAGAAGAUGCCACACGGGAGGUCCUUCUGAAUACAAGACCUUUCCCCUCACCGCUGAGAUAAGCUCAAAUUCAAGCCCGGCCGCCACCGAAUGGUUCAAUGCCCAGCGUCCAGACAGGCCCAGAGCGCCGUCUACGCCUAUGCACGGCGGAUCCCCUAGCCUGCAUCGGCCUCGUUCUUAUUGAAAUCCCACUGAAAAGAUUCCGACUCCGACUUGGGCAGGGGAAGACUUCCAUACCCUACGCUCUCCCCCACCUGCACCCUCGCCACACAGGAUAAAAGGCCGCGGGGCGCUUCGAGCGGGGGGCACAAGCAGGAGCGAGCCGGGUUAAGCCGUGCAAAGCCGGUGCACGGGACUAGCCGGCAGGUGCAGCCAGCGCCCGGGCAGCCCUGCUUGGGCGCAUCCGUUGCCGCGACCCGGGGGUGGGGAACCACAGAGAC
ensembl:lncRNA